rnacentral:rRNA from 1 species
UGCAAGUAGAGCGCACUGGCCCAACUGAUAUGACGUGCUUGCACUGAAUUGACGUUGGAUUACCAGUGAGCGGCGGACGGGUGAGUAACACGUGGGCAACCUGCCCUGAAGCGGGGGAUAACAUCUGGAAACAGGUGCUAAUACCGCAUAACAACGAAAACCACAUGGUUUUCGUUUCAAAGAUGGUUUCGGCUAUCACUUCAGGAUGGGCCCGCGGUGCAUUAGCUAGUUGGUAAGGUAACGGCUUACCAAGGCGAUGAUGCAUAGCCGAGUUGAGAGACUGAUCGGCCACAAUGGAACUGAGACACGGUCCAUACUCCUACGGGAGGCAGCAGUAGGGAAUCUUCCACAAUGGGCGCAAGCCUGAUGGAGCAACACCGCGUGAGUGAAGAAGGGUUUCGGCUCGUAAAGCUCUGUUGUUGGAGAAGAACGUGCGUGAGAGUAACUGUUCACGCAGUGACGGUAUCCAACCAGAAAGUCACGGCUAACUACGUGCCAGCAGCCGCGGUAAUACGUAGGUGGCAAGCGUUAUCCGGAUUUAUUGGGCGUAAAGCGAGCGCAGGCGGUUGCUUAGGUCUGAUGUGAAAGCCUUCGGCUUAACCGAAGAAGUGCAUCGGAAACCGGGCGACUUGAGUGCAAAAAAGGACAGUGGAACUCCAGGUGUAGCGGUGGAAUGCGUAAAUUUUUGGAAGAACACCACCGGCCAAAGCGGCUGUCUGGUCUGCAACUGACCCUAAGGCUCCAAAACAUGGGUACCGAACAGGAUU